ensembl:lncRNA
GUAUGCUUUUACUGCAUUUGCAGUGUGAUCAUUGUCACGCUGAACAAAAGAAGCGUUGCCAAUCAGAUGCUUUCAAGAAGGUUAAUUGUCAUCAUUACAGAAGGAUUCAGUGGAGCAUCUGAGAAAUUAAUGGAGUGAGCUGAGCAGACAAAAUGGACUGGAAAACUCUAAAUUUGUGGAGUCUUAAAAAAAGAAAAGAAGACAGAGCAGAAGAGCAACCAUCUCACCUCAGCAGGAUCUCUGAUUUAACUGUGCACUGUACAGGCUUAUGAAAUUAAUCAUACCGGAUGGACAGACAGAUCAAUAGAAGAGCAGGCCAAGACUCCUUAGUGAGGAGUUGCAUAGAUAACGCUCUCUGACUUGUAUGGGGCAACUGACUCACCUGGCUGCCAGGAUAUCGCAUGGUCAGAGGGUCAGAGCUGUAGGAGCCAAAGGUCAGCAUACUGUGGGACUCAUACUGUGAGAGCUUCCAGGAUCAGAAUUGGGUGUUGGCGUUCUUCGCAAAUUUGAAGUUUGUCAGGAGAGGAAGGUACAAACAGCUGCUGCUGGAAGCUGUCCAGACAUCUCCAGAGAGACGACCUUCAGAGGGAGAGCUGGCCACAUUUCAAUCAGAGACAUCAGUGAAGUCAGAUAAGGUUGAAGACUGCGAUCCAAGCAAGAAAGAAAGAAAGAAACUCUGUAAUGUGUAACUUGGUUGCAUUAUAUGUAGCUAAAGAUACAGAUUUCAUUCACAGAAUAAAG